AUGAAGCUGGAGCCCAAGAAAUUUAAGUCAUUUACCCCAGGAUCAGCAGGGUGUGAGAAGAAUGAUGCCACUCAGGAGGUGACCCAAAGGGAGGUGGCAGCCUGGAGAAUCCUGCAGGAUGAGCAAACAGAGCCAGAAGGACUCCAUCUGCCUCUGUUCUGGGUCACACAGCCUUGGGGUGGCAGAGCCCCAUCAUUUGAACACAGGUUCCAUGACUCCUGAAGGGAGCACUCUGUGGCCCAGAAUGACAUCAUGGUUGCCAAGGUCUCAGGAGUCAUUCAGUCCAACCCUGUCCUUUGAUAGAAAAUGAAGCUGGAGCCCAAGAAAUUUAAGUCAUUUACCCCAGGAUCAGCAGGGUGUGAGAAGAAUGAUGCCACUCAGGAGGUGACCCAAAGGGAGGAGGCAGCCUGGAGAAUCCUGCAGGGUAAGAAGAGGGGCAGGCUCACCAAGCAGAGCUCAGGGUGAUGGGCUGGCAAUAGUGGCAGGCCUGGAUUAUAAAGACCCAACAUCAGACCCAACUCGUCCCUCAGGAGGCUGUCCCAGCCCUUCCCUGGCUCUGACUCUUAGCACAUCUGUCCUCCCACCAGCUUUGGACUAUAGAGCCAGCAGCCUCUCUGGCCAAGUUAGAACACUGAGGAGAUCUGGGUUCUAGUGUCAGCCCUGCUGCUGUCACUGGGUCCUUCCUUGUGUGUCUCCCUGUCCUGCCCUGUAUCAGGAGGGCAUGAGGACUUUCCCCACCAAUACCACCCCAUUCAGAUCUGCUGAGAGCUGCUGGUAGUGGGGGAGGGUCUGAGGGUCCUUCAGGUCACAGAGGGUUUGUACAAUAAUGAAGCCAAAGUCAGGAAGUCACAGGGACCACACUGGGCCUUGGCUGCUUCCUUGGUCAAAUUCCUCACCUCCAUCCCAUCCCCUUUCCCCCUUUGGUCCCAAUGGAAGCCAUUGGAGAGAGUGUGAUUGAGAAUAGGAAAGUCCAUGAGAAAAACAACUCCAUAGAAACAGAGAAGAAAAAUAUUUGCUCUAUCACUUGAUUUCAUUGGAUUUCAUUGGGGAUAGGAUUGGGGAUGUAGCCUCUAUAUGAUCACCCUAGUGCAAAUAUAAAUAAUAUGGGGAAUAGAUCUUGAUCAGUGACACAUGUAAAAACUAGUGCAAUUGCUCGUUUGACUACAGAAGAAGGGUGGGAGAAAGAACGUGAAUAAUACCUUGAAAAAAUAGUCUAAAUGAAUUAAAUAAAUAAUUUUUUAAAAGGAAAAAAGAAAACA
rnacentral:lncRNA from 1 species